rnacentral:rRNA from 1 species
UACGGGGGGAGCAAGCGUUGUUCGGAUUUACUGGGCGUAAAGGGCGCGUAGGCGGUCACCGCAAGUCGGCUGUGAAGUCUCCGGGCUUAACCCGGAAAGGUCAGCCGAUACUGCGGGGCUAGAGUGCAGAAGGGGCAACUGGAAUUCUCGGUGUAGCGGUGAAAUGCGUAGAUAUCGAGAGGAACACCUGCGGCGAAGGCGGGUUGCUGGGCCGACACUGACGCUGAGGCGCGAAAGCCAGGGGAGCGAACGGG